UUCAGUGGGGUCAUUUCUGCUUUCUCUGA
rnacentral:piRNA from 1 species